AGAAGGGAUAGAAGAGAGAUCAGAAGACAGAGGAAGACGUUUGCCUGGGACACUCUCAUGAGGGUUGGGAGUAUUAUCUUUGGAGCGGCUGGGAGGAUUAUCUUCAGAUCGGUUUGGUGGAUUAUCUUCAGAGCGGCUGGGAGGAUUAUCUUCAGAGUGCCUGGAUUAUUUUUGGAGCCUUUUGAGGAUUAUCUUUAGAGCACCUGGGAGGAUUAUCUUCAGAGCAGCUGGAUUAUCUUCAGAGCUGCUUUGAGGAUCUUCAGAGUGGCUUGAUUAUCUUCCGAGAGGUUGGAUUAUCUUCAGGUCGGAUGGGAGGAUUACCUUCAGAACGGCUGGGAGGUGUAUCUUCAGGCUAUUGACACGAGUGGAUUUUCAGAGGUUCGCGACGCGUUUUUUUAAAAAAACCUAAGAUUGAAAAUGCUAGCGUAUUUAUGCAGUGGUCGGCUUUUUUUAAAAACUGCACUGAAACUGCGCUGAACAUCCGCACGUGUAUCCAUAGCCUCAGAGCUGCUGGGAGAAUUAUAUUCGAAACGGCUGUGAGGAUUAUUUUCAGAUUGGAUGGGAGGAUUAUCUCCAGAGCGGUUUUGAGGAUUAUCUUCAGAACGGCUGGGAGGAUUAUAUUCAGGUCGGAUGGGAGGAUUUUCUUCAUUGCGACUGAGAGGAUUAUCUUCAUAUGGACUGAGUGAAUUAUCCGCAGUGCAGAUGGGAGGAUCAUCUUCAGAGCAGCUGGGAGGAUCAUCUUCAGAGCGAUUGAGAGGAUUUUUUAAAGAGAAACUGAGAGGAUUAACUUCAAAGCUUCUGGGAGGAUUAUCUUCAGGUUGGAUGGGAGGAUUUUCUUUGUUGUGAUUGAGCGGAUGAUCUUCAUAUGGAUUGAGUGAAUUAUCCGCAGUGCAGAUGGGAGGAUUAUUUCCAGAGCGGUUGUGUGGAUUAUCUUCAUAGCGGCUGGGAGGAUUAUCUUCAGAGUGGCUGUAGAGUACCUGAAAUGACAGACCAUGUGGAGGGGGU